AGUGGAAUUGCUGGGUCAUAUGGUAACUCAAUAUUAACUUCCUGAGGAACUGUCAAAUUGUUUAUAAAGCAGUAUAACAUUUUACAUUGUCAUCAGCAAU
rnacentral:pre_miRNA from 1 species